rnacentral:rRNA from 1 species
AGACCCGAAACCCGGUGAUCUAGCCAUGGGCAGGUUGAAGGUUGGGUAACACUAACUGGAGGACCGAACCGACUAAUGUUGAAAAAUUAGCGGAUGACCUGUGGCUGGGGGUGAAAGGCCAAUCAAACCGGGAGAUAGCUGGUUCUCCCCGAAAGCUAUUUAGGUAGCGCCUCGUGAAUUCAUCUCCGGGGGUAGAGCACUGUUUCGGCUAGGGGGCCAUCCCGGCUUACCAACCCGAUGCAAACUGCGAAUACCGGAGAAUGUUAUCACGGGAGACACACGGCGGGUGCUAACGUCCGUCGUGAAGAGGGAAACAACCCAGACCGCCAGCUAAGGUCCCAAAGUCAUGGUUAAGUGGGAAACGAUGUGGGAAGGCCCAGACAGCCAGGAUGUUGGCUUAGAAGCAGCCAUCAUUUAAAGAAAGCGUAAUAGCUCACUGGUCGAGUCGGCCUGCGCGGAAGAUGUAACGGGGCUAAACUAUGCACCGAAGCUGCGGCAGCGACACUAUGUGUUGUUGGGUAGGGGAGCGUUCUGUAAGCCUGUGAAGGUGUGUCGUGAGGCAUGCUGGAGGUAUCAGAAGUGCGAAUGCUGACAUAAGUAACGAUAAAGCGGGUGAAAAGCCCGCUCGCCGGAAGACCAAGGGUUCCUGUCCAACGUUAAUCGGGGCAGGGUGAGUCGACCCCUAAGGCGAGGCCGAAAGGCGUAGUCGAUGGGAAACGGGUUAAUAUUCCCGUACUUGGUGUUACUGCGAAGGGGGGACGGAGAAGGCUAUGUUGGCCGGGCGACGGUUGUCCCGGUUUAAGCGUGUAGGUGUGUGUUCCAGGUAAAUCCGGUUCACUUUAACACUGAGGCGUGACGACGAGGCACUACGGUGCUGAAGCAACAAAUGCCCUGCUUCCAGGAAAAGCCUCUAAGCAUCAGGUAACAUCAAAUCGUACCCCAAACCGACACAGGUGGUCAGGUAGAGAAUACCAAGGCGCUUGAGAGAACUCGGGUGAAGGAACUAGGCAAAAUGGUGCCGUAACUUCGGGAGAAGGCACGCUGACACGUAGGUGAAGUGAUUUACUCAUGGAGCUGAAGUCAGUCGAAGAUACCAGCUGGCUGCAACUGUUUAUUAAAAACACAGCACUGUGCAAACACGAAAGUGGACGUAUACGGUGUGACGCCUGCCCGGUGCCGGAAGGUUAAUUGAUGGGGUCAGCGCAAGCGAAGCUCCUGAUCGAAGCCCCGGUAAACGGCGGCCGUAACUAUAACGGUCCUAAGGUAGCGAAAUUCCUUGUCGGGUAAGUUCCGACCUGCACGAAUGGCGUAAUGAUGGCCAGGCUGUCUCCACCCGAGACUCAGUGAAAUUGAACUCGCUGUGAAGAUGCAGUGUACCCGCGGCAAGACGGAAAGACCCCGUGAACCUUUACUAUAGCUUGACACUGAACAUUGAGCCUUGAUGUGUAGGAUAGGUGGGAGGCUUUGAAGUGUGGACGCCAGUCUGCAUGGAGCCGACCUUGAAAUACCACCCUUUAAUGUUUGAUGUUCUAACGUGGACCCGUGAUCCGGGUUGCGGACAGUGUCUGGUGGGUAGUUUGACUGGGGCGGUCUCCUCCUAAAGAGUAACGGAGGAGCACGAAGGUUGGCUAAUCCUGGUCGGACAUCAGGAGGUUAGUGCAAUGGCAUAAGCCAGCUUGACUGCGAGCGUGACGGCGCGAGCAGGUGCGAAAGCAGGUCAUAGUGAUCCGGUGGUUCUGAAUGGAAGGGCCAUCGCUCAACGGAUAAAAGGUACUCCGGGGAUAACAGGCUGAUACCGCCCAAGAGUUCAUAUCGACGGCGGUGUUUGGCACCUCGAUGUCGGCUCAUCACAUCCUGGGGCUGAAGUAGGUCCCAAGGGUAUGGCUGUUCGCCAUUUAAAGUGGUACGCGAGCUGGGUUUAGAACGUCGUGAGACAGUUCGGUCCCUAUCUGCCGUGGGCGCUGGAGAACUGAGGGGGGCUGCUCCUAGUACGAGAGGACCGGAGUGGACGCAUCACUGGUGUUCGGGUUGUCAUGCCAAUGGCACUGCCCGGUAGCUAAAUGCGGAAGAGAUAAGUGCUGAAAGCAUCUAAGCACGAAACUUGCCCCGAGAUGAGUUCUCCCUGAGACUUAAAGUCUCCUGAAGGAACGUUGAAGACGACGACGUUGAUAGGCCGGGUGUGUAAGCGCAGCGAUGCGUUGAGCUAACCGGUACUAAUGAACCGUGAGGCUUAACCUUACAACGCCGAAG